AGACUCAGAGAGAGAAAGGGGUUGUGGACAAGAAAUACCUUCCAGGGCAUGGCCCAAGUGACCUACAUCCUCCAACUAGAUUCUACCUUCCAGUGGUCUAUUCAGCUAUCAAUGGAUUACCUAGUAGUGAGAGAGUUCUCUGUAGCUGGGUACAGAGGAGAAGCCAGAAUCUUGAAGCAGAACUGAAUUCUACUGACCUGAAUGAGCUUGGAAGAAGAUUUCCACUCUCCCCCAGCCUGGGUGAUGCACUGACUUUAGCCUUCUGAUAGCUGACAAUGAGCAGAGAGGCAGCCACCCCACACCAGAUUUCUGACCAAAUGAACUAUGAGCUAUUAACGAAUGUUGUUUAAAAUUUACAUAGCUCGUGCUGAUUUCUUAUGGAACAAUAAAAACCUGAUUCACA